UACGGAGGGGGCUAGCGUUGUUCGGAAUUACUGGGCGUAAAGCGCGUGUAGGCGGCCAGGUAGGUCUGCUGUGAAAACUCGAGGCUCAACCUCGAGACGUCGGCGGAAACCAUCUGGCUAGAGUCCGGAAGAGGAGAGUGGAAUUCCUGGUGUAGCGGUGAAAUGCGCAGAUAUCAGGAAGAACACCCGUGGCGAAGGCGGCUCUCUGGGACGGUACUGACGCUGAGACGCGAAAGCGUGGGGAGCGAACAGG
rnacentral:rRNA from 1 species